AUGUUUGUUGUGUAUGUUAAACCUUUUAUAUCAAAUGCUUAUACUACUGGGCCUUUUGAAGGACAAUUAUAUACCUUAAUUAGUUUUGAAUGCAUUUAGAUCAAGUAUUGCUCCACUAGGCUAUUUUUGAGUCGUGUGAUAUACAUUGUCUUAAUUGUAAUCACAAACCAGCUUCAACAAUUGUAAAGAAAUCAUUCUCCAGUAUUUGUGAUAUAUAUAGAUAUAUAUAUUUACAUACAAGACAUGUUAGUACGACGGCCAAAUAGAAUCACUCCAACUGAACUUGACUCAUUGUUGCCGCUUUGAAUUUUUUAUCAAAGCUGAAUUUUUUUAGUGUUUGGUGUCUUGUAUGUGUAUUUGUUUCCAAUAUGUAAUUAGGUAGUUUACGUAAGUAACCUUAAAUGAUCAUGCUGUUGCCCCUGUAUUGUCCAACCCUUACACUAAUGCAUUCCAUUCUAACAGCUUUGGUUGACUUCUCCCAGAAAAAAAUUUUUUUUACUAGAACAUGUAUCCUUAUUUUGAUUCAGUUUUGGUAACAUUUACUCCAGGCUGCCAAGCAGCCUUUCCCUGGAGUUACAGAGAAUCUGUCAAUUUGUUUACAUUGUGUAAAUGUAAGGCUGGAUGAAUGAUACAUUGAAUUAAAAAGAAAUAAAUCAUAAAAAAA
rnacentral:sRNA from 1 species